UAAAACACGUUUUCAUUCUUCACACUCUAGAUUUGCAGUCUGGUGAUUAGCAUCAAUGUUAUUUAAUGAGAUACGUAAAAUACGUGAAACUUUCAUUUACGACAUUCUCUUAAUUUAUAUCCUGAUAAUUAUCUCUAAUUCAUAAGUAACACGCAUAAAAUAAUAAAACGUUAAAAGCAUCUCGAAGUUUAUUAGCCGUGAAAUUUCAGGGCGCGAAGCAAUCUCGUUUUACAUUCUUUAAAGCCCGUCAGAUCGAUUUCACUUGGAUGAGAAUCAGUUAUUAUAUUUCGUCAUUUCAUUCCAUUUCAAGGUGAUUUACCGUGCGCACGCGAGACUUUUCGUCGACGUUCUUCCUGGUCGUUACGUAAAUGCAUUUCGACGUCGGGGAACGGAACUUGGUGUUUGCGGAUUAGGUUUGCAUGGCGAUGAGCAACACUGUUUUCAUCGUCGGCGAGGGCGUGGGCGAUGGCGCGGUACCUCUCUCGCGGUUUCUGUGCUUUCCACGAAGUGCCUGUGGCCGCCUCUUCUCUCUUCCCGGCUUCUCGCGCUUAGAGCGUAAAGACAACCGCGCGGCGGAGAGGGAGAAACCGAAGGGAGAAAGAGAGGAGAUGGAGAAGGAGAGAGGGAAGAGAGAGAGAUUUACGUUCCGGGCGCCUUUUUCCGCGCGACCACCUUGACUGCCUAUAAAAUGUUCGCGAAACAUUUAUGCGUGCGUGUCCCGCGACUCGCCGAUCGCGUCGAUUUCUCGGCGAGCAAUAACGCGUUUCGCUCGACGCGAAGGAUGACGCUAACGAGGAAAGAGACGAGCGGCGAUGACGAGCGCGAAAUUCCCGGGAAACAUCAGUUAUUCUCGGUAAUCGUUUUAACGAGAUAUCGAUGACCCGGAAACACGUCGAUUUUUUUAUAUUUCUCCCUGUGCCUCGCACCGUCGAUUUUCGACACCCGUAUGUUUACGAGUAGAUUGUUUUUUUUUUGCCGACGCGACGGAAAGUUCCGGGACCCACGAUCCGUGCGGAUACUAUCGAUAUUUUCUUGGUUAUUUCUUGACAGCGACGAGAAAGAUUUCUUUCAAUGCUAUUCACUGCCAAAUUUAAUGUGUAUCUAAUGAUCUUGACCUUUGCGACACUUGCAGACCGCACUAUCGACGGCGUUUCGAUAAAAGUUAAGCGUAUUGCAGAAUUAAAACAUCUGCAUCGCGAGAAGCAGUGUUGUUGUCGAAGAGAUAAGGAAGCGAAUUAAUGAAUUAAAAUUAUCAAGGGGAAUGUACGUAAUUCUGAAAGUAUACUUUCUUUUAUUCGCACCCUAUUGGAAAAAUUCAUGGACUUUGAUUUUUACAGCAAAAGAUUACGAGCUCUCAAAAAUUUACAUAUGUCAAGACUAUUAGCGGCAGAGUCACUCCGUUCAUUCGUAAUGACUUCAUGAGGAUGCUGCUUUUUCCUUGUUUAUCUUUGCUUCUUUAACGCUUCCAGAAAACUCGACAAUUACUCUCACCAUUCUAAGUAAAGAACGAUAACUCUCAUGUAUCGCUGUUAAUACGAACGCAAGAGCGGAAUCGUUAUUCAUCCCGUGCACGCAAACGCACAGGAAAUGCCCAAAUCGCCGCACGGAUUCCACGCGGACGUCUCUUACGGAGAAUUAGGAAUCGACAUCGGAGUUUCGGAGAUAAUCGAGGCGCGUUUUCACGGUAGACGGUAGACCGAGCGAAGAUCUAUCUCGAAUGGAUGUUGUCGAUCGCCAAUAAAAAAUACACGCGUUUUCGUUUCGCGCCGGCGAAAUAAAUGCUUCGCGCGAUUUAUAACCCCGGAGCGGAUCGGAGCGGAGCGAAGCGCGGCGUAUCGCCGGCGUGCAUCGUUUGCGGAAUACGUUUCCCCGGCGCGGCGGGUUCGUCGAUCGUUCGAUGGGAUUCUUAUUGUCGGUUUCCUGCCGUACGCGUAUCACGCCGGGCAGCUCUUUGUGAGCGCGCUUUCCGUCUCUCUCUCUCUCUCUCUCUCCCUCUCGUCCUCUCGGUAUCCGGAAGUCUCGACGCUCGAAGAUUAACUCGCGCGCGCGCGAUGUCGAACACUCCCCGUAGAACGUGAAAGCUAAUUCUGACUCACGAGCGGCCUGGUCGUUUGGACGAAUUUUAGAAAUUGCAGAAAAGUAGGAAAUUGCAGCGUUUCUUUCGGGCAUCCAGAAAUGAACGUUGAUUGCGCAUCGAAAUGUUUCCAAGCUUUAAUAUUUACGGUAUUACUUCCGUAUUUUAUUUAUAUCUUAUUAUCCGCAUCCUGUGUCGUAUCGAGAUAAUGUACUGAAUAUAACUGCAUAACAUGAACAUUGUCCCGGCCGCGAAAUGUGCAGUUACGCACGACCGCCCUAGCCGCGAAGUUGCACGCUACCCACGUCGUCGUCAUCGUGGAAGGCGCGAGGGCCCGAGACAAUGACGACGUAUUCGUCGCGAAUGGAAAGAGCGACAGGUGUAGGCAUAAUGCGCCAGGCGCUGCCGGAUGACUUAUGCAGAAACGAUGCGUGUCGUCCUCGCGCGGUGAUGUCCUCGCAAAAUGUGAGACGCGGGAGAAUCGACGUCGCGGAAGCGUGCGCCCUUACCCGGGUCCCUCUAAAUUAAAGCGCGUUACGCAGCAGAAACUCGCGCUGUCAGAAAUCGGAGGUUGUGAAACGCGUGGAAUAAAAAAUUGUCUGGGAGGAAAAUUAUUGAACGACGCGUGGUCCAACAAACGAGAGAGAGAGAGAGAGAGAGAGAAAGAAUGUGUGUGUCUAGUCUAGUAAUCAGGUGGCAUUGAUAGAGAGCUAUAAUCAUGUAGAAAAAAGUAAUAAAUUGCAAUGUAUCGGAGUCAAUAAAACAUAUGCAUUUACCGGAAUUAUCAUAUCGCUCCUACACCGAUCCGCUUACAUUAUUCCUUUCCGACAGUCGCGAGGACAGGAAUACAAGGAAAGAAAGACAGAAAGAGAGAGAGAGAGAGAGAGAGAGAGAGAGAGAGAGAGAGAGAGAAAGGAAAACAUACACAUCGGAAGACGACGACGAGAGGAGCAAACGGUAAGAAUGCACAGCUCUUCUCUCUUCCGUCGUCGCAGACGAUGCGCGAUGUGUGCGAGGUCAGUGACCAUGGCGCGGCACUCUCGUUGUCGCUCGCACUUCUUGCGACCGACGGAGAAGUGCAGUGGAGGAGGAAGAAGAGCAAGCGGACGGUAAUGCGAGGGGACAGCGCAGUUUUGCGCGGCGUAAAAUACGGCGGCCGGUAUUUAACGGUCGGAUGAGACCGAAUUUAGAGGCCGGAGGUGACAACUCGCGUCGCACUUCCCCGCCGAAGAGCAACGGACGGCUAUUAAUUGACGGGAGGGGGAGGGGGGGAGAGAAAGAGGAACAAACGAGAGAACAGGAGAGAGCGAUAUCUGAGAAUUCGCGGCUGGUUGAUAUACGGCCUUGAGAGAGCCAUCUCGGAGACGCGCGCUGUCGCUCCGGUUCGUGCGACCGUAUUUACGAGACCGUUAAUUUUCGGCCAAUGAGAAAGCGAAUUAUUCGGUGAAUCUCUCACGAUCUGCUCUCCUGAUGAACGAACGAAUAUUUCUUGCGCAAUCCGCGUAUAACCGGUAAGACCCGGCAAUGGUGAGAUUUAUGUCGCAUGACCAACAGAAAAAACUCAGUGACGGUUGUUCAAUUUCCGUACAAUUAUUAAUAAUCUACGAAUCUAUAUUGAUAUACUAUUCAGAAGAAGAAAAACAAUUCCAUUAAUACAAAAAUUUAAUUUUUGAGGCCUAACCGAACACGCUUAGUCAUUCCCUUCUCUCUUUCUGUUAUGAGAUUAAUGAGAUAAAUGCAAUUAUCAUUAACUUUUGUUCUCAGUAAUUCACUUUGACAGACUCAACGCUCUCCCUCUUAAAAAAAAAAAAGAUAUAAUUUUGUCAAGGCGGAUGAUCAAGAUCAUUACGUGUCCGUGAGAGAGAAAAAGAAUUAAAAAGAGAGUCGCGGGUAUUGUGCGAAAAGAAUUACACGAUAAGCGACGCGUUCUGACAAGUAGGCGACGAUCGUCAAAUCGCGCGAGAUUCUUGUGUACUCGCGAGACUCGCCAAAGACCAAGCCACGGCUAUCGCAACGAUAACCCCCUCCCCCCCUCUCCUCUAGCAAUUGCCAAAAGCGCAGGUCUUGGUUAAGAUAAGGUGCAGGUCAAUCGGGUUAACUGAUUUGGGUCAGCCACCGAUCGUUUUCGCGGGACGAAAAAGAGGGAAAGGGGGAUGGCCCUUAUCUCCCUCCAACCGCUACCGAUGAUUGUAAUAAUAAGAUAACGAUUGCAAUGAGAAUGUAAAUAAGUCAUUAAUCCCUUGCCAUCUGGCCCAGAGAAGGAUCGACGCUCGCGAAUCUCCGCUCUCGCGUCUCUAUCGUGCCGUUACGUAACGGCGGGAGAUUCGACGAAAAUUAUUUCUCGCCAGGCCGCGCGAUAAGAACGAGAGCUUUCCGUCUUUCCGCGAGGCAUGUCACGUGUCGCGCACCUUCAACAACGUGCGAUAAACGUGCGCGCCAUCGAGGAGCCUUUCGAGGAAAGAGAGAUAUGCGUAUGUAAGUAAUUAAAAUAUAAUUAGAUUUUCGCGAAGAGCGGAAGUGGACCAUUCGUCUCGUAUUGGAUAAUUUUUACAGGAAAACGCUAACCAAGGAAAUGUGCCGUGCUCGUUGCAACAUUUGUUUCUCCGCGAUACGACUGUGAAUCUGAAGUAUUAUAUUUUAUCAGUUUUAAAUUAAGAGCGAAUAACGAACGCAAUAACGAUAAUUGAGUCACGCUUUAGCAAAAAGAAAUACUGAAGUGAUUCGGUAGUGCAAUCAUCGAGUCUGCAUAUUUACAACAUUCAUUCUGCGAUUACGUAGAAAACGCAACAGUGUGUGUGUGUGUGUGUGUGUGUGUGUGUGUGUGUGUGUGUGUGUGUGUGUGUGUGUGUAGCAUGCAUUAAUGCCCCAAUCGCCUUCCAAGAACUGUCGUAAUUUCUUUCAAAUGGAAAAAUGACACACGGAAAUGUGUUUCCGAGAAUUGAAGUUGCGCCACCGAAGGGUUGCGACGCGAUCGGAGAGAUGCGAUCAUCCGAGGGAUGCAUUCAUUUGACUGGGGAUAACAUGAUGGGCUCGCGCAAGGUCGCGCGAUUCCCGUCGCAAUAAUGCCGUCGACGGCUGUCCAACACGUCGGUUUAUGCAUACCGAGAGAGGCGAGACAGAGAGAAAGAGAGAGAGAGAGAGAGAGAAAGCGCACGUUCACGUGUACCUACGAAUAUGGGUCGAGAGCUUAAUACGGUAACUCCGAAUAUAAAAAGGCUGCGGCAUCGAGAGCCGUGGCGAGAGAGUCUCGGCUUUGUUACACACAAGUAUGAUGUAACGCAUCACUGGUGCCGGCGAGUAUGCUAAACUCGAUCGCGCGGAUGUAAUACGUAAAUCUAGCGACAACAAAAAUACGCUCGUGCAUGCAAUUUGCAUGUAGAAUAAAUAGAAAGGUACGCUGUGGGUUUGUCUAGGGAUGAUUACAUUCGGUAACAUGUUUCUCUCCCGCGUAAAGACGAUAAAGAGAAGGGACCCGUGAUAUCGAAAGAAUCAUAUAUCGAAAGAAAUAAAUCGUGAAACAAAUCGAUUCGGUCUAGCUAUCCGCGAUACAAGAUUCAGAAGUCAACCUUUCCGAAUCUUUAGGCACAAAUAUUAUAUAAAUAAAUGAAUUAUAGGUAUCGUGCGAUAACACUCGGAGCGCACAAAUUUCGUUAAAAACUUUUUAUUAUCCGAAGGUUAGCCGAUAGCGAUAACUUUUUUUUUUUUUGCGUAACAACUUGCUCGCGGUUAGGGACAGAAGGGGAAUCAUUUAUUCAUCAUAUUAGGGUGAACGACGACUGGGAACCCGUACGCGUCAAUACGCGAACGCGCACACACGCGCACUCGCGCGCGUGUACAUGCGUGCGUGCGUGCGUGCGCGCGCGCGACGUAUCCACUGUGUCAAGUAGAUAAUAGAAAUCGAACACGAAGGAAAGGAAGGUGCGCAUCGUGCACGACAGGAAGAGUUUCGCGUGCGGAGCCACCGUUGCCGCCGCCACCGCCGUCGCCACGCCCGUUCACUUUCUCCGAUAGUACUAGAAACAGCUCACAGUCCGUUCGUCCCCUCCUACCCUCCUCGUCGUCAGGUUCAUGCCGUCGUCGUCCGUCCCGUCCCGUCUCGUCUCGUCUCGUCCCUCCUUCCCUCCGCGUCCCACUCGCGGGCGCAUAUGCCCGCGGAUCUAGGCUAGCUCAGUGGGUCUAGGUCUAGGCUGGUCGCGACGUCGCGCGCGCGUGCAGUAUGCACCGGCAGCCGAUGCAGCCGCGUGCGCGCGUCUCGGGAGCGACGCGUCGCGAAGUGCGUGCGUGCGUGCGUGCGCGCGCGCGCGCGCGUAUGCGUCGAGUCGUCGCGUUAUAUUUAGACGAUGCGAAAGCAAACGCGAAUUCGCAUUCGGGCGGACCCCCUCGGUUCUUUCUCUUUUUCUCUCUUUCUUGUUGCCACGAUAACGACGACGAGGUAAAGAUAGACAGAGAUUAGGAAGAGAAUCGCUCGCUCCCCGCGGCGGAAAUGAAUCAUUUGAAAUUGUCAGCUUUCGUCUCCGCGCGUGCAAUUCGUGAGAUCGAGGAGAAAUAUCAUCGAGGAAGUUAUUCCAAUCGUGUUCUGCAAGUAUAUCGCUCGUCUUCGAUUUCGGAAAUGUUUGGCAGACAUGAGCCCGAAUACGAACGGAUAUGUGGGACAGUAGUGUAUAAUUUACGAAACAGGAAGUGCGAGACAGGCACGUUGUAGAUAAUGAGUAUCGACAGAAGAGCGAGAGAGAAAAGAGAAGAAAAGAGGGAACAUCAGUGCAGGAUAUACAUGGUGUGCACAAUAUAUUUAGUUUUACUUGUUUCUCUACAGAAAAAUAAAUUGUCAAUUAUGUCGAUAUAUCAAUUUUAUUAAUUUUCGCAAUAAAUGUCUUAUAAAUUAAAUCGUAAAUUAAUACCGUAUGAUAAGUCUGAUUUACAAUAAGUUAAAAAAUCAAGGUUGUGUAAACUUUGCAGCUCUUAUACUUUUUAUUUUAAUACUUUUAAUGUUUUUUAUAUUGAUAGUUUUUUGGAUAUUGGAAUAGUCGAGAUGUUUGUUUUUAAGAAAAAAAUUACAAGUAGAAGAUUAAUGAAAAAAUAGAAUGGAUAUUUGUGAAACAAAAAUAUUGCACGAUAUUAUAUAGAAAUAUUAUAAAAUAGGCUCAAAGACCAUUAUAACUCUUUAUUAUUCAAUAAUUAUUUAUUAUCCGUAUUCGAUUAUAUAAAGAUAAAUAUUAGCAAACAUGCGAAGCAAAAAGUGCUUCCAUCAUUCUGAAGCUGACUGUACGCGAACGAAAGUGAACGAGCAGAUAGGAAGAAACCUACGCACGCUCUCUUCCUCUUUCCGUAAUCUUCCUAUCCUCAUACAGGGAACAAGCAGAAAAUGAACAUCUUAGCGGAAAGGGGAGACCUUUAACUCUAGCGAACGGGAGCGAGUUGAAGCAAUGAAGAAUAUUUCCGCGAGCGUACGAGGAAAACGUUGCAUCGAGAAGGAAGAUGAAUUUGACAAGUUUAUUUCUCUCUUUUUCUUUCUUUCCUUUCGUUUCCGAAAUUUAUAAAUCCAUAUUUUUCGAAUAAGUAGAGAUUACAGAUUUGUCGUGUCAUCUUCUAUAACUUCGUGACAUUAAUUUUUUUUAAUACGAAUUUUAAAACAAUUUAGAAAAAUUGUUGCGAAUACAAGUACAAAUACAGAAAAUAAUGAGAUUUUAGUGGGACCGCAGGAAAGAAAAUGAAAGAGAAAGGAAGAGAAGAUGGAAGGGAAGGCAGGGAGAAGAGACCAGAGAUAAUUGGGAGCGCGGGCUAUAUAUCUAGUAGUGUCCUCCACACAAAGCGAGGAGUCACAAGACAAGAGUUAGUUAGACUUUCGUCAUAAACGGAACAGAGCGAAGGGCAGAACGACGGACGGACGGACGCGCUUUAUCGAGCACGAACGAGAGAAAGAGAGAGAGAGAGAAUGGUAAGAGGAGGAAAGACAGAGAGGACUAGUCUAGGGCAAAUGAAGGCUAGAGAGCGCGGAAAGUCCGAGGCGCACGCGAUAUACAAGCAAAGCGCGAAAACGUAGGAAGAGAGAAACGGGGAGGGAAGACAAAGCGAGCGCGCGAGAGUGGAAGCUCAAGGGAGACGUGGCCACGUCUUUUUCGACGAGUGCGACGAGAACGGAAAACGUCGGACGUGUCCGUUCGCGCGCGUUUAGUGGGAAGGGGUCGGGAGGGGGUAGUAGAGUUGUUGGGCAGGGUGUAGGGAACGAUCACACCACCCCGUAGGAGCCGACGGAAGAGCGGAGAAGGGAAGGACACGACGAUGCGCGAUGUCGGAAAGCGACGGGGAGGAAGGAGAAGGGGAUCGACGAAGAGGCGAACGAAGAGAGGCAGGAGGAGGUGGUGGUGGUGGUGGUGGCGAUGAUGGUGCAGGAGGAAGAGGAGGAGAAGGAAAAGAAGGAGGAAAGGGUACCGCGCCGCCGGGAUGGAGGGGAAGAGAAAGAGAGGGGGGUCAGACGGGGUGAAUUGCCGGCGACAAGGUCACCGUCUAUACCUCGCUGGAACCGCCGAUACGUGCCUUCGGCAUUAUACGCGCACGGUACUCUAGCUGCGUCGUUUCUCUAUCUUUCUCUCCCCCCUCCCCUCCUUUGGCUGUCCUCCCCCUUUCCGCGCUCACUUCCCCGUGCAGCGAGUUACGUGUAUGCACGUGCAUACAGCCACGGAUGCGCGCGUGUACACACGCGCACAUGUGCGAGGCCCAUACGUGAGCUAGCAUAAUAGGAAUAAAGAAAGUGACGCUCAUCACGUAGGCGAGUCGGGCACGUCGGUCAGAAUUUCGAGACUGGAGAAUGGACAAGUACAAAUGAAAGAGGAAGCGGCUUCUAACUGAUCUAAUUAUUUUCGUAGGAUCACUUGAAAACACGUCACGUUCGAUCAUGACGAUGAUGACUCGUUUUGUUCUGCGGUAUAUGUAAAAAUUAUUAAAUUUCAGAGAUUAUCUAUGUAAUUGUCACCAGAGCGUACGAUUUGAAAAUAUUGAAAUCUUUACGGAACAUUUAUGUGCAUUCAGAAGAACGCAUUAAUCUUUUCAUUUUAUACUCGAAUGCAAUCAUACACGUUAGUCUUUAAGUAAAGUUAGUUGUUCUAUGUGGAAGACGGCGAGUGCAACGCUACGCCCGUCUCUGUCGACGCUGUUCUGUCUAGAAUUUAGCAUUUGACGUUUAAAUUUUGUUUACUUAGCGUCAGUUUCGGAGAACGUUGUCGGUGCGUCGGCCGCCGCACGUAGAGAAACCGCCGGUCGAAAUUGAAAGUCGAAAGCGCGCGAGGAAAUUUAUUUCGGGCGCGCGCGCUUCCUUCUCCGCCACCGAAAGCCGCGUUUAAAUGUCCGAAGGAAUCUAUUUUCAGAUUGCGGCAGGAAACGCACGCGAGAUAUACGGACACGGAGAUGUCAGCGUGCGUAUCAAAACGUGGCGAUUAUAUACUCGCUUGAAUUUUCUUAUCGGGACGCGCUGCGAUAAAAAGAAAUCGAGAAUGCUCGGCAGCACAACCGGCGCGAGCACAAAUCGACGAUUUGAAAGUUUCAUUGGAAAAAAACUGCAAAUAUCGUCGUUUACAUCGAUUGCACGACAAUUAACUUUCCUCGGUAAAUUAUUUAUUUUAAUGGCCGUAGACGUGUGAUGGUCCAUAAAUCGAUGCAAUAAAGAGGCACGUUUACAUAAAAUGUAAACGUGUUUACGUAAUCAACGGAGCGAUUACAACAGUGUGGUAAAUGUGAUGCGGCCGUAGCUCUCAAUAUGAUAACGUCGGUAGUUAUUAUUAGAAUAAAUAAUCGUAAAUCUCUUUGUAACAAUUUUGUCGCCUCUAAUAAUCACAUCGUUAGAUGAUUGGUAUGGCAUUUAUGUUUCGCGCGCGAGCGCGCGCGCGCGUGUGUGUGUGUGUGUGUGUGUGUAAUUAUUUCUAAUCGAUUUUACGUCGAGGGAAGAGCUAAUGGAUUUGCAGGUUUUCAGAACCGAACAAAUUCUAAAUGUAUCCGUCACCGAAAGAAAUAUUUAAACAUGUACAAGGAAAACCACAAAAGCGCAUUGAUCUUGCUAUUAAGUCUAAUACAAUAUAAAGCAGAAUAAAAUUUCAGGAUAGCUCAUCUUUCGGAACUCCCCGCAACAUUUGAGAUAGCAUGGCCUCGUCUGGUCCUUGCACUCAGAUCUUCGGAUUAUCGUCAUCAUCGUUCACGUCGAUGACGUCGAUAAAUUUCGAAAAUAUCCGCGGCAAACGCCGAGCCAAGUCACGGCACGCGAUCCGACGUGCUCCAAUAGCUGUCGGCAAAUGGAGGGAAACCUUGAAGGAGGCAUUUACUCGCGCGGCUUACGAACGCGUAGCGCUCUCCCACUUCCUCCCCCGGCACCAUCCUUCAGCCGCCGAUUAUCUCUAUCGCCGUUGAACUGAAUCUAUCGAACGUUGCCGCGCGCAUCUGCCCCGAGAAUAAUUCCGCGCGAAAACGUGACUCUCCUUAUUUACGCGACGGCGACUCGGAGAUUUCGCGCGCUCUAUAAUCGCCAAUAUCUUCGCCGAAUGUAGCGUAAUUUUUGAAUAAGCAAACCGCACCCCCUGCUAAAUACGUCCGAGGUAUCGUUGUAAAUUCGACGGCGCAUUCAGCGUUCGUGCCGUAUAUGUAGAUAAUCGAUUUACAGGCUUGAGUUACACGGUAUCGUCUUCUUCGGUGCCUCGAGCGAGCAAAUGUAACAGAUAAACCUUACGGAAAGAUUCGAGGUACGGUUUUCCCCCCCGGUGCUUAUUCCUUUUUUUUUGUUUCCUCCCUUUUUGAAAGAAGGAAAUAAGUGCGCCUCGUUACGCGGCGGAUUGGUCGUAAACAAAAGCUCCUCCGUACGGAGGGCCGUGCUAAAUGCGUCGCGCGAGCGGUUGAGAACCGUCUGGUGCAACAGCGCUAUGCAUUUUUGCCGGCGGCAGCGACGACGACGACGGCAGCAACGGCGGCGGCGGUGGCGGCGGCGCUAUACGUGUGCGUGUACGCACACGCGCGCAACGGCGGACGCGGACGGCAAGUGCGCACACACGGAGGAGCGCGCUCUGAUAAUAUGUACACUGCAAAUACACAAUACUACAAUACACACGUCGUCGUCGGUGCAGGGGCAGAGACCCAGGAAGGACGCGCUUCUCUCUGUCAGACCAGAGCCUGCCAGCGCCUAUGCGCGCCUAUCUGUAAAGUCGAGCGUGUCUUCUCUCCCCGUCCCUCCCUCCACCCUCCUCCCGUCUACAGGGUGAUCCGAAAGACGGCUCGCGCGCGCGCGGAAGACGCCACGCACGCGAAUUUUAUCCUUUACGGUUCUUCGCACGUGCGAAUCGACGAAUUCCUUUCUCUUUUUUUUCUCCCCGUUGCGAUUUUCACGGCGCAAAUUCGAUGUGCCGCCAUUCCGAAGUUCCAAUCGGACUCCUCUCUUCAUGGUUCGCGUGAUUCGGAAAACGACGGGUAUGGAAAAAAAAAUGCGAUUUUAUUUUACAUCUUUCGUGCAUACGUAUUAAUACGUGUUUCUCGGUAAUUAUUUCACAGAUAAAUAUAUGCGGUGUUCUAAUUAAAAUUUCUGCUACGUGAACUGGAUGAUCCGAAGAACGAUGCAGCGAACGAUGCGACCUUGAAUUAAGUCUCUUAAUGGGGUUUUUGUAAAUAAUAGAUUCUUCAGUAAACGGCAACGUUCUAAUUAAAAUGUUCCUCCUACAAGGUCAUCUUUCACACAUUUGCUCGCUUAUAUUAAAUUCUUACUCUGGGUGUUUUCCAAGCAAGCGUAAUGUUCUAAUUAAAAUUUUUUCCUUAUCUACAAGAGACUCGAGCAAACCGUGCAAUCUAGAAUUAUUUGUAAUAAAAUCAGCAUGCAAUACUCCAUUUUUUAACCGAUCGCUUCUAUAAUAAAAAGUUUUUAUCUUUUUCUUUUUCAUUUGAAUAGUAAAAUUUAAAUACCGUGAACGUGUCAAUGCAAUAUUACGUAUAUUAAUUAUGUAUUAUAUAUAUCGAUAAUAUAUAUUAAUGCAAUAGAUAUUCGCAUAAAUUUCACUUCGCGCAGUACAGGAAUAAUUUUUGCAAAUGGCAACCGGGUCGUAAUUUACACGAGGGGAAGGGGGUACAAAUGCAAAGCGAAUUCACGUCGAACUAUUUAAUUCCGUAACCUUCCUUGCGCGCGAUAUCGUAACGAAUUCCACGCAAAGGUUUAACUUUCUCAUGAAUAUUCAACGGACGCUAGCGGCGCUAUUUAAAGGAACUUUGCACUUAUUAUUGGAUCGCGUGAUAUCUACGCUGAAUAAUCGUAGCGUCGCGCGAAAUUUCGCUAAAAGAGAAUCUCCGAACGGAGACGCAAACUCGGCGAGUCGUAAACCGUAAACUUAUGACGAGAAAUUAAGAAUCUGAAUUUGAAAUGGAAAUGACGAAUGUAAAGAGAGAUCACAAUGGGGAUUAGUGAGACGGGAAAAAGAUUUCCGUACGCUUCCGAAUGGCACGUUUGUGUUUUAACAAAUAGUGCCGCUUACAAAACAAGCAACACAGUAUAAUAACAAUUAUAAAAAUAAAUUAGGGAAACGUCGAGAACGUAAAAAAAAAAAAAGAAGAAAACAAUUCCAUCGUAAACAAAGGAUUAUGAAUGCGAGUAACAAAGAGUAGGGGAAAUCUGUCUUACACAAAAUGGAUUAUUGAAUUCGUCGGGCUUAAGUGUAACAUCGCGCGGUAUCCGCCCGGUCAGGAAAAAAAAAGGAAAGCAGAAAACGAGAACUCGUAUGCGCGCGAAUCGAAGCCCGCCCGCCACGAAAUCGACGUAGCGUUUAUGGCGACCCGUUAUUUUCUGCCUCGCGUGCAAUUUGCAAAACGCGCCGUGGCCUACAAUAAAAAAUCCGAUACCUCGCUCGUACUUCCGGAAUCCGCAAACGCCAUUAAUCAGCAAGUCACGCGUCGUCGGCGUCGGUGAGAAUGUCACGUGUUGUCGGUGUGAAUGCACCGGCUUAACUUUCGAUUUUCAUGCUGAAAAAAGUCAGCCCUCAUCAGCUCGACGAUGAAUCACAUAUUUUUGACAUUAUUUUUGUCGAUGUUACAAGAAAAGAAGAGAAAAAAAAUAUAUAUAUAUAUAAUAAUUAAUUUUAUCAUCAUAGUCAAACUGUACGACAAGAGAUACCGGAAUGUUAAAUUUCAAUUACCGAUUAUUCCGAUUUCCACCAUCGAAAUUCGCAUCAACCGCGAGAAGUUUCUCGUGGCGCGCUUUUCCUUCGGUGAAUCGAAUGAAUAAUCGCGGAAACCGGCGCGGCGCCCGGCAUACCGACACAAUUCCAUUGUUCCGCAGCGUUUCGCCCGAACGACCGGCGUCAUUUCGCGCGAGCAUUUCCGAGAGGAAAGCCGGAUUGUCGUCCUCGGGAGUAGGAAGUAGACCACCGCGCCCCUUCCUAGUCGACCUAGACCUCCACCUAGACCCAGAACGCCACGAGACGAGUCGGCGUUUCUCGCGAGCGCUUUUCCUCUCCUCGCGCGGUGAAACCUACGCGCACCUGUUUCGGGAAACGGAUUCGCCACUUUCACGUCCGAGCGAGCGGAUGCGAUUCAGUAGCGCGAUGCAUUCGAACCGAGGGGGAAAAAAAAAACUGCGAGAAAACAGUUUACAAAAUAAUAUCGUCAGAAAAACCAACUGUCGGAGAAAGAUCAUCAAAACAAAUUGUUAAAUACAUUUUUUCUUUUUAUAUAAAAUUUUAAUACAGAAUAAGUAAAUAAGUAUAAAGUUCCCGUUCUCUCGAAAUCGGUCACGAAUUAAAAUCGAUUACGAGUUAAAAUCGAACGAAAAAAGUCAACUGGGCGUUUUCUGUGUACCGGUAGCAACGCUUUCGACGAAGGAAGUCUCCUAUCUCCAAUCAGGAAGUGGACUUUAUCGUACACACGAAGAGCGCAACAUGCACGCCAGAGCAGGCCGCGCCUAGUCGACCUAGACCUAGACCCGCUCUAGCCUUAGAUUCUACUCUGCAUCACCCGUUUCGUUCCUUUAUUUUUACUCGUCGCGGCCUCGCGAGCGCGUGUUACGUAACACUGUGGCGCUUAACCCUUCCACAGCGCCGUUAACGCGUUCUCUCGUACAGCUUCAGGAAACUCCUCUCUCCCUCCCUCUCUCUCUCUCUCUCUCUCUCUCUCUCUCUCUCUCUCUCUCUCUUCGUUCUUCCUAAUAGUUUAUCUUAACUUUGAAAGAAUGUUGUCGCAUUUAUUUCUCCGAGAUAAAAAGAAGUCACGGACGUUUCAAACUCGAACCAAGAUAUCCUGGAUCAUCAUCGUUAAUAAAUUCUGUAUUAAAAAACGUAGACAAAAAAUAUAUAAUUUUGCUACUUUUAAGUCUUACGUCUUAUUCCGCGUUCAUUUUUUUGCUUCGAGCCUACUCAAAAAAAAAUUAAUGAAAAAAAAACACAUGAUAAAACAGUGAUAAUUCCGAUAAGAAUCUUUGUUUCCUUGAAAAAAUUUAAUGCGUCAGACGAAGUCAACUGAAGUACGAAAGCGCUAAAGAUAGAACGAGGAACGCUCUUAAUAACAGAAGUAUCGGUAUACAUAUUGGCCAAGAGCACUUUGAACUCGAAUCGCGUCUCGAGCUCACUUUCGUCGCUUAAAGAUACUUGUUCCCAGAUAUCGAAGUCGCAAAAAGUAAUCGAUCUUAUGCGUGGUGCGACGACGAUGUGCUUUUCCUGGUAUUAUCUUAUUAUCGGCCAUCGAUCGCUUGUACCAAACAAGAUUUCAAUCGCGAAGGUAAACCGUGAUAGAAAAAUACUUGGCAAGCUAGUGCAUCUUACGAUGAUUGAUAAUCGACAGCUGUAUAAAUGAUUCUUUCUCUUUUUCCUCACUUUUUCCUCUUUCUCUGUUUUAUUUGCAUUAAGGAAUUGUAAAAGGAAUAUCUGAAUAUUUCUUUCGACGAGAGAACCGUAAUGUGCAUCUAAUAUUUUUGUAAAAUUAAAUUACUUCUCUUAGCAGUUAGCAGAGAUAAACUUAUGAUAUGAUUGUGUAUCAAACUGGCUGGCGUCAGUGAACCUCCAUGAGUGAUAUUAAUAUCUGAUAUAAUAAGCUUUUCUAAACGUAAACAUCGCAAUACGGAAGAUAAUUUCGCGAAGAUUACGUAAAUCAUGUUAUUAAAUCACUGCCUGAUAAGCAUACGGGUAAAUAGGAAGAUCGAUUUGUAUUUAGUAUAUCAAUAUUAUCGCGAAUUUUUGAUAACUCUUUAGAUAUUAAUAUACAUGGUCAGCAAUUAUUAAAAAGUACUAGCGUAAUAAAUUAUGCGUAUUUUAUGUAGAAAGUCCAUCAAACGCUGAGAUUUAUACUGGCCGAUCAAAACAACUGUUAGCAAAAUUAACGUUUCUUUUCCAGACAAAUAUUUUAAUAUUUCAACGAAGCAAUUUCGAGAGAUGAAGAGAGGAAAAGGAACGUUUCAAGCCUAUCGUGUUCUGAUAAUUAUCAAAUUAUUUAAAUACAAGCACGUGCAAAAUAUCGACACAUCUGUGUAAAGUAUCCAUAUGUCCAUAUUUCUUCCCUUGUGAUUUCUCGCGUGGCGGCGAAAAAUCUGCACACGGAAAUUUUUUUACGAUCUCUUUGCCCGACCCCGGACUCUUUCGUAAGCGGCUGUUAUUCGUCGGCGAAUUCUAUUUUUUCCGUCGAUUUCCCGCGGCAAAAAGCCGCUUCCCCUUUUUUUCCUGUUCCCUCCAAACCCGUCUCCCUGCCCGUCCGCGUUCGAAAUUACGACGCGAUGCGUCUGGCGAUCUUUUAAAAAUAUCUCAGGAGUGCUUGAUCUAGGGCAACCAGGACAUUCCUGAACCCCGAUGGCGCGGUUCCUAAAUACACUCAUUUUUGUGCAUUCUCUUCUCUCGCGCGAAUCCGACCGCAAAAAAAAUCGCGUUUACAAUCGAGUCGAGUUUCUUUUAUUUUACUUAUUAUUUUUUUCCUAAGAUAGCAUGGAGUACUUUACACACCAUUGUAUUUUUUUUUUGUAAUAACAGCGAGCAUGAACAAUUACGAUACCGGAUAUACGAGUUUUUUAAAUCGGAAUAUAGUAAUCACGUGUAUCUGAAUCUCAUUUAUCAUUGUUCCCGAGAAAGAUCAAAAUAUUUCGAAGGCAUCUGCUUCUCGGUAACCAAAGUGGUAAUGUAUUCACAGGCUACUUUGA